AAACCUCACCCCCCAAAAAAAAGCCCACCCCGCCUCCUGACCUCCAGCAUCUCCCAGAUCCCGAUCCACCCACCCACAACUCCCAUUGCCGCCGGUGUCCCGCUUCCAGGCGUCGUCGCCAGCCUCCUCCUUCUACGCGUCGCCGCGGGCCUCCCGCUUCCACGCGUCGUCACCGGCCUCCUCCUUCCACGCGUUGUUGCUAGACUCCUCCUUCCACGCGCCACCGCCAGCCUCCCCCUUCCACGCGCCGCCGUCGCCUCCCUCUUCCACCCGCCAUCGCAGGCUCCUCGGCUUCCACCCGCCCUCGUGGCAUACUUGCUUCCACCAGCCGCCAUCGGAGCCACCCCGGCACCUCCAUCGCCGCCACGCGCGACGCGCCUCCUCCCAAGGAUGCGGUCGCCCCCCCCCACCCCUCCUGCCGGCGACACGCCCACUCCUCCCGACGAUGUGUCCCCGCCGCCUCAACGUGCAGGCCAUUCACCUCCGCCACCCUAGACCGUUCACCUCUGCCACCACUGCCUGUUCAACGUGGCCUCGACAACCCGGCGCAUGAACACCCUCUGUCAACUCCAAUGCGACUUUGUUUGUCUCAACUUCAAAACAUGUUCAAUUCAGAACUUGACAUGGAGGGUGUACUGAUGAUACCUAGCCGAAUGAAGCUCUGAGCUAUAUCCUGAGUAGAAGGGGAAGAUGUAGAGGGUGGACUACUCAGGGCUUUGCUGCUGGAGUCGUGGUGUAUUCAUGAGCUCCUGUAGAGCUACCGAUCCAGCGAGCCGCUCAUGUCGAUGAAAUGCAUGCUAAUUAAUUCCCUUGAAAACGCCAUUGGUGACCUCAUUCUUCUUUCUUGACAGGAAACAAGAGGGAGUGUCAACACUGAUACAGGGAGAUGCACACCAAACCCGCCGCCCGAGGCCGUGUACCAUCGCAGCGCCCCUUCCCCAGCCAUCGUGAGGUCAACCUCCUGGGAUACACAAAGUUUCAGUUCGUCGAGAGGCUUCUUGGAGUUGCAGAUUGUAUAUUAUGGCAAAGACUCUAUUUCAAUGGGAGGUUCAACCAGAGGAGUUCAAAACACAAGAACUCUAGGAGUUCGCAAAACAAAAUCUACUAUGAGAGUUUGCACUUGUGUGUGCAGUGCAUGUGUUAGGUGUAUGUUUUUUCGGUAUGAUCUGGACACUGAAGAAAGAAAACACAAGGACUCGGUCCAUGUAUAAUUUUCUACUGUUUUUGCACUAAAAUCUUUGGUCUGAAAUGUAUGAGUUUUGUACAAUUUUUGGUUUUGUAUGUUGUAGCUGUAACAUGUGACUUAUAGCACCACUGUUUAUCGGAAGAAAAAUCCAAUUACAGCCUCUGCAGUUACAUUA